GUUCAAAUUUUUUCAAAGAUAAUUUUUGCAUGAGUUUGGACUGUAUGAAUUCAGUGCAAGCACUGAAGAAAAUGAACACAAACUUUCGGAUUGCAAUUUCUUUAGAAAUGAGAAUUGCCAUUGCGCUGUAUUGCGUUGAUUCGUCGCCUGAAUACAGAAGCGUAUCAAAUCUCUUUGCCAUUGGAGGUGUGGAAAAUUUUUUUACUAUUGUACAUGAAUGGAUUCCCAUUAACAAGUGACAAGGUGAAUGAGGCCAUCACAGGAUUUGAUGCUUUUGAGUUUAUAUAACCAAAACAAUAUUAAUUACAAACAAUACUAAAAGAUAGAAGCCACAUUAAAACAAAACCCGAAUCUUAGAAUGCUGAUCACUACUAUAAGAGAUGGUACUCGACCAUUCUAUUUGCUCUUCUAUUUUAUAGAUACCGUAUUCUUAACAUACAUGUUGCCUAUCCGGGAAGAUCUAAUGACUUUCAUUUUUGAAUACUCAUUACUAAAGAG